CAUUCUUUCUUGCAUGAGUAAUCAUUUUUUUAUUUGUUUGUCAACUUUGAUCAGGUGAUUACCUUAAAGCAAGAGACAAACUGAGGGCCUCACUGACCUGUAAUACCUCUGAGUUACAAACAGAUGAUGAGGAAGAAGUCAUUAGGAAGAGAAAAAAUAAGCCAAGGCAAAUCUUUGGUGAUACAGAUUCUGACAGUGAGUCAGAGGGUGGUAUAAAGAGGAGAUACCACAAUCUCCACUUGUCUACUGCCACCUAUUCCUCCACCUACUCCUGACAUACCAUCAACUGAAACCUGACAGACUUCCGUUAGACCUCUGCCAGAUCUGAGGCAGAUUGAAUCUUCUUCUUUCACUGGUAUAUUCCUGCAUUUCUGUUAAAUUAUUUUGUAAGCAAUGUUUUUGUUAAUAUCUAGCUGUUUAGUUGUAACAUUAACAUAACAGUAUUAAGUCAAGUUACUAUUAUGGGACUGAUGCAGUUAAUGUAACUUCAUGUGCUCAGUGACUCUGACCGGUUUUAGCUGGUCAUACUUGAAGGAUUUAUUAGUAUGAUACUGAAUUAUUAUAUGAUGUGUUAUUCACUUAAAAAAUCUAAUUAUUGUCAUUUUCAUGUUUCACAGCAGCACCACCUGUCCCCUUUAAUACAGCUGGAAUGCCUUCCAGUCCUCUACGCCACUGCUCUGUUGGAUAUGUCCCAGAUCUGUUGCCUCCUGAAGAUGGAAAUUAUACAGUGCCUCCAGUUGCUACGCCUACCUCUCACAGGCCAUCAAGCUCUAUGGGCCACAUCUCUGCCAUGCCUCAAAUGUCAAAUGAGCAUUCCUUCAGGCCCACGUUUAGACUGGGGAAGACGGGCACUGGACCUAUUCCUUGCUCUGGUAAAAUCCUUUAAAUAUAAAACAUUCUGUGACUACAAUUUUUCAAAUGAUAUAGAUUAAGAAAACUUUGUAUUUUUGGUCUUUAAAUGCUUCCUUAACUCUUUUUGUAGCUGCA
ensembl:lncRNA